rnacentral:lncRNA from 1 species
CCAGGCUUGUCACUGAAUGAAGUAGGUGGCCUAGUGGACAGAGUGCUGAUUCUGGAAUCAAGAAGACCUGAGUUCUAAUCCUCUCUCAGACACUUACUAGCUGUUCGACUCUUGGCAAGGCAUCUAACCUCUCUCAGACUCAGUUUCCUUGCCUAUAAAAUGGGGGUGCUAAUAAUAGCAUGUGAGUUGCUCAGGGUCACACAGCCAGCAAGCUGGUCUGAGGAGGCAUUUGAACCCAAUCACUGCUCCAUACUGCCUCAUUGAGCAGAGAUUUGAGCAUGAAGGGAUCACAGAAGCCAUAGAUUCCCACCCCCUCCCCUUAAUUUACAGAGGAAACUGGGGACCAAGGAAGUUAAGUGACUUGCCCAGGGUUGCAUGGACUGUUAGCAUCAGAGAUGGGAUUUGAAUAAGCUCAUCCAGUGCUCCUUAUGCUAUUGAAGUUGAUGUGAUAAUAACUGAGAGAAUUCUACAGUCACUUUGAAGUAGUUUUGUUCUUGUUUGCUUUUAUUUUGUUUUUGAUGCUUGGUAUAAACUUUGGUCUAAGUCACAGAAAAGUCAGAGGCAUCAAUGGGACACUGUUCUGGAGCUGGCUUCUCAUGAAUGUUCGGUGUGGGUUGAACCUUCAGGACCAAUGCCUACGAUUUCUUAGAUUUUAUAGAGUGUAGGUCUAUCCUGAAACUACGUCAAGAAGGGCACUCUCAGUUCUAGGGCUGGUUUCCGUUUUGACCUCUUCAGUCAUGCAUGACAAAAGGACGAGCCUCCGGAAGAAGGAUGAGAAAGUUUGCAACUGGCUCCAUCAGAAAUUUUAUACAGAUGCUCACCCUUUCUAUUCAAGGUCUGCUUUUGCACCUCCACCCCCAUCAUCAACUCUGGCAGAGAAUUAGAGCAGCAAAGCAGAAAAAAGGUUAUUGAUCCACACAACAAGAUCUCCAUAGCUCCUGAAUUCUUCCUGUCUCUGUUGUUCUCCUGUGGAACUCCCUUCUAAUCUAGGUAGCGCCAUCACAUCAAGACCUCCCAUUCAGGGCUAUGAUUGAAGCAGCAUGCCUGGUUGAUCCCAGGUCAUGUCCUCCAUUCAGUCCCGUUUCCUAAAAGGUCUCAUCCUCUAAGCACCUGAAAACUCCACAUUCUUGAGGUCAGUGAAGCCCAUCAAAACAUACCUUACCUCACAUAGUAAUAACUGACAUUGAUUAUCAGAGGUGUGGUAAACUGAGGUCUUUUUGCCUCCAGGUACUGUAUCUAUUAAACCAGGUACUGGAUUUACUAAACCAUGCUGUGUCAGAGUCAUUUCUGUUCCUGAUGCUUAUUUUUAGG